rnacentral:rRNA from 1 species
UACGUAGGGUGCGAGCGUUAAUCGGAAUUACUGGGCGUAAAGCGUGCGUAGGCGGUCCGCGAAGUCUGAUGUGAAAGCCCCGGGCUCAACCUGGGAACUGCAUUGGAAACUAACGGGCUCGAGUGUGGCAGAGGGGGGUGGAAUUCCACGUGUAGCAGUGAAAUGCGUAGAGAUGUGGAGGAACACCGAUGGCGAAGGCAGCCCCCUGGGCUAACACUGACGCUCAGGCACGAAAGCGUGGAGAGCAAACAGG